AAAAGAUUCCUCCCUCUAAACUUUACUGCUGUAAUCUAACAGUAUUCGUCGAGGCAGGCGCCUGGAGUCGAGCAGUUCGCCGAGAUCCGCGUCUCUCACUCCGCUGAGGCCAUGAAGAGAAGGCUUCAGAAAAAAUACAUCAUCUUAAUUCUAGGAUAUUCCGUGGCGCUGCUUUUAAUUCCCUACGUACUAGAUUACCGGAGCAAAUCGUCCUACAUUAAAGAUGGAUAUCAGCAACAAAAGUGUCCCGAUCUGGAGAGCACCAUCGCCCUGUGGAGUAGCACCAGGACGGGCAACUCAACGGAGGUGGAGGACUAUGGCAACAGGAGUCAGUCCAGAACGCACAUAUACCUCCACGCAACCUGGAGGACAGGCUCUUCUUUUUUAGGGGAAUUAUUUAAUCAGCAUCCCGAUGUGUUUUAUUUAUACGAGCCCAUGUGGAAUAUGUGGCAGGCGCUUUAUCCGGGAGAUGCGGGCAGUUUACAAGGAGCAGUGAGAGACAUGAUGAACUCCCUGUUUAGAUGUGAUUUCUCCGUUUUAAAACUCUACGCAGGCUCGUCCAACGUAACCACCUCUUUUAUAUUCGGCUGGAAAACAAACAAGGUCAUUUGCUCCGAGCCUCUCUGCAAAGCGUAUAAGAAACACGAAAUUGGUUUAGUUCAAGGAGACGUGUGUAGCAAAUGCCGGUCCAGAGACCUCAAAGAGCUGGAGAAAGAGUGCAAAAAGUACCCGGUGAUGGUCAUCAAAGACGUGCGGGUUUUAGAUUUGGCGGUUCUGGUUCCCCUCGUGCGAGAUCCCGCCAUCAACCUCCAGAUAGUCCAGUUGUUUCGCGACCCCCGGGCCGUGCAUAAUUCUCGGAUGAAGUCUAAGCUAGCGUUGGUAAAGGAGAGCAUACAGGUGCUGAGGAGCAAGAAGCAGAGCGACAAAUACAAGCGCCUUCUGGUGCCUAGCAACAGGGUCCAUCGGGCAGAGAACUACGUCUCGAGCGCGAUGGAGUUAAUAUGCGAUAACUGGCUCAACGACAUGUUGCUCGUAAUGAACGCUCCAACGUGGGUGAAGAGAAACUAUAUGCGGCUGAAAUACGAAAACCUGGUCCUCAGACCCGUGGACGAGCUCCAGAGGCUCUACCGUUUCUCCAACCUCACCCUUUCUCCGGCCAUGGAGAAGUUUGCGGUGAACAUGACCCACGGACGGGGCUAUUCGUCGGAUAAACCUUUCCUCAUAUCACCCAGAGAUGCCAAAGAGGCUAUUUACGCAUGGAGGGAAAGGCUGAAUGUGGAGCAGGUGAACCAGGUUGAAGCCUACUGCAGUGAGGUCAUGAGACAGAUGGGCUAUCAGAAGAUGAACAUGGACAAGACCUAAAACCACCAAAACAUGAGUUUAUGAGUCAUGUGAUGAGGGGGGCUGGUGUGACCUAACGGACCGACCACACGUGAUGGAAACAGGCUGAAAUAGGGACUGCUUUGUGCUGAAGCCUGAUGUGCUGGAGGAACAGGAGGACAGAGGGGGAACAGCCGGAUAUGAAGCUACACCAGAAGGUACGACACACCAGUGGAGCUGAGGAGCAACACCCCGAGAUCUCCCUCACAGUGCCGUCAUGGGGCGCUGAGUAGACGACAGAAGAGAGACACUUACAAACCCAUCGACCUCAAAUAAUACUGACAAGAAUCCUGUAAGAAAAAGACUAACAAUAACAGAGAGGAAACACGUUCAGCAAGAGAGAAUGAAACGGCUACCAAAGGCUCAGUCCCGGCUGUGUCCUGACAGCCAGAUUUCAUCCUCAAUAAUCCCUGCCCAAUCCCCAGCAGCCCAUAAUCAGACACAAAAGGCAGAGUCUUUAAGUGCACUCGUGCUGUUGCACAUGCACUAGGCCUGGAGACUGACAUCCCAUUCAAUGUUCAGUUCGUUGGGAGGAUUUCAUAAUGAAAAUAUUCCUAGGCAUUCCUGUAUUCAUCAACAACGAAUGAAAAGAGGAUUAUGCAUCAAGGACACUCCAGUUUCUGUGGUACCACCCCCCAAAAAAAUGAAUGCAGAACUUAUCUGAGGCACAAAGUGCAAUUCAAUGAACUGAAGAUCAAGAGGAUGGAGAUGGAGAAAGAAUUUUCCCCAAAGGAAAUUCAGAUUUCUCUCCCCUAACUCGCAACACUCCCGCUGGUGUGAAAUUUCCCAGUUCCCCCUGGACAUCACCUGCUUGUUCUUUUUGUAUGAAGUCUGCACUGAGCUGUUAGGCUGUGCAGAAUGUUGUGUUCAUUUGUGUAUGAAGAGGAUAGGAUUGCAAUUUGAAUAGUUAAAUGGCCGGAACAUCUCAUCUAAAACUAAAACACACAAUCAUUCUUUAUGGAUACAGGUGUUUUGUGCUCUAGGAGAAAUGCUAGAUGAUUAUCAUUUUGUUAAAGGGGACAUCAGAUGCCCAUUUUUCACAAGUUGGUAUGAUUCUUUAGGGUCUUUAUGAACUGUCUGCAACAUACUUUGUCAAAAACAGCUACACCUAACCGUUUCGGUGCAUGUCUCUUUAAAGGGGUAGUUCACCCAAAAAUGCAAAUUCUGUCAUUAAUUACU